rnacentral:rRNA from 1 species
GACGAACGCUGGCGGCGUGCUUAACACAUGCCAGUCGAACGCUGAAGCUCAGCUUUUGUUGGGUGGAUGAGUGGCGAACGGGUGAGUAACACGUGAGUAACCUGCCUCCUUCUUUGGGAUAACGCCCGGAAACGGGUGCUAAUACUGGAUAUUCACUGGUCUUCGCAUGGGGGUUGGUGGAAAGGGUUUUUCUGGUGGGGGAUGGGCUCGCGGCCUAUCAGCUUGUUGGUGGGGUGAUGGCCUACCAAGGCUUUGACGGGUAGCCGGCCUGAGAGGGUGACCGGUCACAUUGGGACUGAGAUACGGCCCAGACUCCUACGGGAGGCAGCAGUGGGGAAUAUGGCACAAUGGGCGCAAGCCUGAUGCAGCGACGCCGCGUGAGGGAUGGAGGCCUUCGGGUUGUGAACCUCUUUCGCUCAUGGUCAAGCCGCAACAAUGGUUGUGGUGAGGGUAGUGGGUAAAGAAGCGCCGGCUAACUACGUG